UAAAAUUGGAAUACACGUUCUCGCAAAUCCCGCACCUCCCCUCUCCCAGUCUCCCUCAUCUGCAGGUUGGUUCCUUAACGUGAGAAACCCCUAAAUCUCCAUUUCUUUUUCCAAACAAGUCUUGUAUCGAACAUGAAUCACAUCUAAAACCAGCAGCAAAACACAUAGAUUCAGAGGGGAAAGGGGAGGCGAACAGCAGCGAUGAACGUGGCGGCGCGUGAGAGGAGCAGCAGCGAUGAACGUGGCGGCGCGUGAGAGGAAAAGUAGUGGUGGAUCGGAACCUCGCGAGGGAGAACGGUGGGUCGUGGCGGCGCGAGAGGACGCGGCGCAACAGAUCCAACGACGUGCGUGGCGGUGGCUAGUAGAGGAGCGUGGUGGAGGCGAUUUAGAAGGAAGGAAGGAGGAAGGGAGGUGGUGGUGAUCACGAAGGAGAAGGAGGUGGUGAUGGUGGUGCAUCCAUGGGAGAGAAAGGGAGUGGCCACUGGUUCCUCCUCCUCCAACGACCCCAACCCUAACGCAGCAGCAGAGGAGUUAAGACCAGCUUGCUGGAAAAGGAACCGGAAGCUCCUCACCGAAGCCACAAUGUCUACUACCUCACGCAGGCUUCUCCCAAUCCAAUUCUACUACCUAUUUGCACUGCAAUAUAUCCCCCCCUGAGAAAGACACUUUCCAGUUCUGCAGCAAGCAGCUCCAACAGAUUUUUUGGAUCCAAGACAGCGCCCCAAUAAUAAAGGGUGUUUCUAUUUACCCAUCUUUCAUUGAGCUUUUUAUGUCUUACCUUAAUUGAGAUCCCAUGAUCAGCAAUCUAAUGUGGAUGCCCUUUCGAGUUAGCAACAAGCAACUUUCGGCGAAAUGUAGACAGAAUGGAGUAUAAUGAUAUAGAAGUUUCAUUUUCUUCCUCAGCACCUUAUGCUUCAGAGUAAAAAAUUCUGGAUUGAGAUUUUAGUUGCAUAAAGGUUCUGACUCUGACACCAGAAGAUAUAUUCAUUAGAAGUUCUGAAGAUCAGAAGUUCUGAAGAUCAGAAGUUCUGAAGAUCAGAAGAUCUGAAGACCAGAAGAUCUGAAGAUCAGAAGCUCUGAAGAUCAGAAGAUUUGAAGACCAGAAGAUCUGAAGACCAGAAGCUCUGAAGGUCCAGAAGCUCUGAAGGACCAGAAGCUCUGAAGGACCAGAAGCUCUGUUGGUCCAGAAGCAGAAGUUACGAAGGUCAGAGGAUCCAAGCUUCCCUCUGACUCUGAUCACCAAGCUUCACAAGUUCCAACAUGAAGCGUCGUCAGAUCAGAAGUAAAUGGUUACAGGCAAAUGUCACUAUCAAGAAGUACAAGAACAGUGUACUAUUAUGACAAGCCUAUCUACCAAGGUUCAGCCACAGCAGGUUUUGGAAGUUCCAGAAAUGCCCUCCAACGGUCAUAUUCUCUCAACGGAAAUAUCCUUUGCACCUUGGACUAUUUAAGGCUGAAGAAAAGAAGAAAGAUAAGAGAGAGAGAAAUCAAGAGCUGCAAUACAAGAAAAGAUUCAAGCCUAUACUUUCUUCAUCUAUUCUUAUUUAGUUUACACUCAGCUUAUUUAGAAGCAAACCUUUGUAAACACCAACCUCAAACAGUUGUUUGAUUUUCCUUAAGGGACCGGGUAGGUCAGUAUCCUUAAGAAGACUAAGAGAGUGAAUCUUAGUGGUGAUUCCGAGAUCAAGGUUGAUCGGAUCCUAGAGAAGACUAAGAGAGUGAAUCUUAGUGUGAGCUAAGUCAGUGUAUUGUUAGUCACUUGUAGGUUUCAAGUGCAGUUGUAACAAUUAUCUGAUUAGUGGAUUGCCUUCAUUCUAAGAAGGAAGAAAUCACCUUAAUGGGUGGACUGGAUUAGCUUGAGGGAUUUAUCAAGUGAACCAGGAUAAAAUACUUGUGUGCUUCUCUCUUCUCUCUAUCUCUUUAUCCGCUGCACCAUCUAUCUUAGAUAAACCGAAAAGAUUUACUUUAAAUCUUAAGGGGAAAGUUUUUAUAUUCAAAACUCUAUUCAACCCCCCCCUUCUAGUCGUUUUUCACACCUUCAAUUGGUAUCAGAGCGCAAGUUC